rnacentral:lncRNA from 1 species
CCCAAAUAUAAAGAUCAUUUAUUUCCUAACAUAUAUAAAUUAUGUACUAAAUACAUUGACAUACCUGACUUUUUUCAACAACAUAGAUAUCAGGGGAAUCAACAUUAUUAAAAUCCUCAGAAACAUAAAGAUUUGAGAGAUCAAGUGUAUCAUCUAGAUCAAAAUCAAGAAUGAAACAAUUUUUCUUUCUUCAAAAUCCUUCAUUUCCAUUUUAUUUUUCAAACAAAAGACUUGUCUCAGUGGGGUCGUCACUUUUUUAAAUAUAAAGGGAUAAUUCAAUGAUAUGUCGAUCACCGUCUCCACCACUACUUUGUUCUUCGUAUCGGCCAUAUUACAAUCCAGAUCAUAAAAAACCCAAAACCCUAGAGAGAAAAAAAAGGAGGGAACGAUAGAACAUAUGAAGCUAAUUAGAAUUUUGAAAAUUGAAAUUACUUGAUUUGACUGACUUGACUUCUCAACUUCAAAGUUCAACAAAUGUCUUUGACUUCAAAUUCGGAUGGCUUCAAAAGUUUAACAAAUAUCUUCGGAUUCGGAACAAAUGUAUUUGGCAUCCGCAAUUUAAUACUGCGGAACUUAAAAAACUAAAAAAGUAAUAAUAAUCUAAAUUUGGCCAAUACGAUGUCGUUGGCCAAUUGAUCUGACAUACUCAACAUUCGUAGUUUAAUACUGCAGACGACUAGACGAGAGACUUUUACAAGAAGAGUAUUUUGGAUAUUUGUCUCGUCCGUAGUAUUAAAUUGCGACGUGACCUCUAUUAAACCGUUCGAUUAUCAGAUAGAAGAUCACGAUGUAUUGUAAGACUAAAUUCUU